rnacentral:rRNA from 2 species
CUUGACCUCAAAUCAGGUAGGACUACCCGCCGAACUUAAGCAUAUCAAUAAGCGGAGGAAAAGAAACUAACGAGGAUUCCCCUAGUAACUGCGAGUGAAGCGGGAAGAGCUCAAAUUUCGAAUCUGGCGG